rnacentral:rRNA from 1 species
GAUGAACGCUGGCGGCGUGCCUAAUACAUGCAAGUCGAGCGAACAGACGAGGAGCUUGCUCCUCUGACGUUAGCGGCGGACGGGUGAGUAACACGUGGAUAACCUACCUAUAAGACUGGGAUAACUUCGGGAAACCGGAGCUAAUACCGGAUAAUAUAUUGAACCGCAUGGUUCAAUAGUGAAAGACGGUUUUGCUGUCACUUAUAGAUGGAUCCGCGCCGCAUUAGCUAGUUGGUAAGGUAACGGCUUACCAAGGCAACGAUGCGUAGCCGACCUGAGAGGGUGAUCGGCCACACUGGAACUGAGACACGGAACAGACUCCUACGGGAGGCAGCAGUAGGGAAUCUUCCGCAAUGGGCGAAGGCCUGACGGAGCAACGCCGCGUGAGUGAUGAAGGUCUUCGGAUCGUAAAACUCUGUUAUUAGGGAAGAACAAAUGUGUAAGUAACUAUGCACGUCUUGACGGUACCUAAUCAGAAAGCCACGGCUAACUACGUG